ACUCCCCAGAUACAGGUGUGCCAAGCUUGAAGCGUAAUACCCAAUAAUACUCAAGGCUGUAAUCGCUGCCAAAGGUCUUUCAACAAAGUACUGAGUAAAGGGUCUGAAUAUUUAUGUAAAAUGUGAUAUUUCAGUUAAAAAAUAUAUAUAAAUUAGCAAAGAAUUUGCUUUGUCAUUAUGUGUAGAUGGAUUAAAACGUUGUUUUCCUCAUCACUUUCAGAAUAAGGCUGUAACGUAACAAAAUGUGGAAAAAGUCAAGGGGUCUCAACACCAUCCAAAUGCACUCCUCCUGAGGGGAAGCGGCAUUGUCGUGCCCUCUUCACGACUGUAUUAGUGUGUUUGGACCAUGAUAGAUCCUUAGGGAUGUGGACACUGGGUUGGCGCUCCUCCCCCCUUGGGUUGUGCCGUGGCGGAGAUCUUUGUGGGCUAUACUCAGCCUUGUCUCAGGAUGGUAAGUUGGUGGUUGAAGAUAUCCCUCUAGUGGUGUGGGGGCUGUGCUUUGGCAAAGUGGGUGGGGUUAUAUCUAAUUCUCUUUUUCUCUCUUUCUUUCUCUCUCUCGGAGGACCUGAGCCCUAGGACCAUGCCUCAGAACUACCUGGCAUGAUGACUCCUUGAUGUCCCCAGUCCAUCUGGCCGUGCUGCUGCUCCAGUUUCAACUGUUCUGCCUGCGGCUAUGAACCCUGACCUGUUCACCGGACGUGCUACCUGUCCCAGACCUGCUGUUUUCAACUCUCUAGGGACAGCAGGAGCGGUAGAGAUACUCUCAAUGAUCGGCUAUGAAAAGCCAACUGACAUUUACUCCUGAGGUGCUAACUUGUUGCACCCUCGACAACUACUGUGAUUAUUAUUAUUUGACUAUGCUGGUCAUUUAUGAACAUUUGAACAUCUUGGCCAUGUUCUGUUAUAAUCUCCACCCGGCACAGCCAGAAGAGGUCACCCCUCAUAGCCUGGUUCCUCUCUAGGUUUCUUCCUAGGUUUUGGCCUUUCUAGGGAGUUUUUCCUAGACACCGUGCUUCCACACCUGCAUUUCUUGCUGUUUGGGUUUUUAGGCUGGGUUUCUGUACAGCACUUUGAUAUACCAGCUGAUGUAAGAAGGGCUAUAUACAUACAUUUGAUUGAUUGAUUUGAUGACACCGAGGAAGCUCACAAACCCGCUCCACUACAGCCCUGUCGAUGUGAAUGGGGGCCUGCUCGACCCUCCAUUUUCUUUAGUCCACGAUCAGCUCCUUUAUCUUGCUGAUGUUGAGGGAGAGGUUGUUGUCCUGGCACCACACUGCCAGGUCUCUGACCUCCUCCCUAUAGGCCGUCUCAUCUUCGUCAGUGAUCAGGCUUACCCCCUUCUUGUCUUCUGCAAACUUAAUGAAGGUGUUGGAGUCAUGUGUGAACAGGGAGUACAGGAGGGGACUAAGCACGCACCCCUGAAGGGCCCCUGUGCUGAGGGUCAGCGUGGCAGAUGUGUUGUUGCCUACCCUCACCAUAUGGGGGCUGCCCGUC
ensembl:lncRNA